AAAAAAAAAAAGAAAACACCCCCCUUUUCCAUUUGCCUUCUCUGCUAGGGUUUAUAAAACCCAUCAUCGCCGCCGUCGUCAUGCCUCCUUGAAGCCACCGUGGUUUCCACCGUAGACGGUGGUCGGGGCCACGUGAAAUCGGGUUAGUCUCUUCUUCUUCCUUGAUUCUUUUUUUUUUGUUUUAAAGUAAGUUAAUAAAUAAAAAAAUAAAAUAAAGUAAAGUAAAAAUAAAUAGAAAGAUCGAGAUAACAUAGGAAAAAAAAUCGAAGUUAACCUUCUAAAUUUUCUUUUUUGUUUUUGAUUUUUGAUGUUCGUAACCAAAAAAAUUACAAAGGGAUGUUUCGGCUUUUAUAACCAAAUUACAUAGAUUCGUUUUAUUUUUUUGCUUGUUGUCUGCUACUAUUUUUUAUUUUUUUUCUUCUUGUUUUUUGUAUUUUGCGUGUUAGUUUCGUCUUGCAGGUAUCAGAUGCGUGGAAGGCCGGUGGUUGGUGCCCCGAGCGGUGGUGGUGGCGCGCGUGAUGGCCAAGGCUGAAGGGGAGUGGCGGCUGAAAACUUUGGUGGCUAAGGUUUGCUGCUGAAAUUUUUUUAAGAUAGUGGGCUUGGGCUGUUAGGGUUUGUAAAUUGGGUUUGGGUAUUGUAUUAUUGGGCUGAUUUGGUUUGUAAAAUAGACUUUUAUUUAGUUAUUUGGAUUUUUUUUAUUUGCCUGGGCCAAAAAUUGGCCAUUACACACAUUAUUCCCCUAUAGAAUCCUGUAUUUUAGAUAGUUUUUGAUAAAAGCUAAAUAUGAUAAUAUGAUUGUUUUAUUUUUAAAUGAUGUAAUUUAUUUAUUUUAAAUUCUGUUUA
rnacentral:lncRNA from 1 species